UAUUCGCGAAUAUAAAAACUU
ensembl:piRNA 21ur-10422 ncRNA